rnacentral:lncRNA from 1 species
AAGAAUCCUGAAAUCAACAGUUUUUGCCUAACAUUGCAUACCGUUAGCACACUAGAAAUGCUGCAAUAAACUAUACAUUUUCCUCAAUCUAAUAAAUCAACAAGUACUCCAUUUGUAACAUAAAACUCAUUCUAAAAACCGCUCCAUUCUCCGCAUUCUAAAAUACUCUCCUUAUUCUAAAAAAUCAACAAAUACUCAAUUUGUAACAUAAAACUCAUUCUAAAAUGGAAAGAAUCCAUUUUACUCCUCUCAUUUUACACCCCUCACCUAUUUAUUUUGUCCACUUAACCCCCUAAGCAAAAUUUAGGCUCACUUUACUCCCCCCAAACUACUUCAUUUGGUCCAAUCUACCCCCUAAUUAGAUUUCUCUUUUUUGUUUCUUCAUGUACAAACUCUCCUUGUUCUAGCUAAUGUACUCUCCAUUCUAGCUACAAAACAUAAAAUAUAGAAUACUAAGUAUGAGAGGAGGGAUUUGCUAACCUUUUCCUCCCCUAGUUCGAGUGAAG